rnacentral:rRNA from 1 species
GACGAACGCUGGCGGCGCGCUUAACACAUGCAAGUCGAGCGAUGAAACUUUAACAGCACCCUUCGGGGCGAAGAUAAUGUGGAUUAGCGGCGGACGGGUGCGUAACACGUGAGUAACCUGCCUUAGACAUUGGGAUAGCCUCGGGAAACCGGGAUUAAUACCAAAUAAAAUCAUAAUGACACAUGUCAUAACGCUCAAAUCUCCGGUGGUCUAAGAUGGACUCGCGUUCCAUUAGCUAGUUGGUAGAGUAAAAGCCUACCAAGGCGACGAUGGGUAGCCGGCCUGUGAGAGUGAACGGACACAUUGGAACUAAGAAGCGGUCCAAACUCCUACGGGAGGCAGCAGUGGGGAAUAUAGCACAAUGGAGGGAACUCUGAUGCAGCGACGCCGCGUGAACGAAGAAGGCUUUCGAGACGUAAAGUUCUUUUAUAUGGGAAGAUAAUGACGGUACCAUAAGAAAAAGCCCCGGCUAACUACGUG